UGGGGAAUAUUGGACAAUGGGCGAAAGCCUGAUCCAGCCAUGCCGCGUGUGUGAAGAAGGUCUUCGGAUUGUAAAGCACUUUAAGUUGGGAGGAAGGGCAGUAAGCGAAUACCUUGCUGUUUUGACGUUACCGACAGAAUAAGCACCGGCUAACUCUGUGCCAGCAGCCGCGGUAAUACAGAGGGUGCAAGCGUUAAUCGGAAUUACUGGGCGUAAAGCGCGCGUAGGUGGUUCGUUAAGUUGAAUGUGAAAGCCCCGGGCUCAACCCGGGAACUGCAUCCAAAACUGGCGAGCUAGAGUAGGGCAGAGGGUGGUGGAAUUUCCUGUGUAGCGGUGAAAUGCGUAGAUAUAGGAAGGAACACCAGUGGCGAAGGCGACCACCUGGGCUCAUACUGACACUGAGGUGCGAAAGCGUGGGGAGCAAACAGG
rnacentral:rRNA from 1 species